rnacentral:sRNA from 1 species
AAACCAACAGGGAUUGCCCUAGUAACGGCGAGUGAAGCGGCAACAGCUCAAAUUUGAAAUCUGGUCCCCCCGCGGGGGCCCGAGUUGUAAUUUGAAGAGGAUGCUUUUGGCGAGGCGCCUUCCGAGUGCCCUGGAACGGGACGCCACAGAGGGUGAGAGCCCCGUAUGGUUGGACGCCGAGCCUCUGUAAAGCUCCUUCGACGAGUCGAGUAGUUUGGGAAUGCUGCUCAAAAUGGGAGGUAAACCCCUUCUAAAGCUAAAUACUGGCCAGAGACCGAUAGCGCACAAGUAGAGUGAUCGAAAGAUGAAAAGCACUUUGAAAAGAGAGUUAAACAGCACGUGAAAUUGUUGAAAGGGAAGCGCUUGCGACCAGACUCGCGCCCGCCGGAUCAGCCGUCGCUCGUCGGCGGCGCACUCCGGCGGGCUCGGGCCAGCAUCGGUUCGCCCGGGGGGAGAAAGGCGGCGGGAACGUGGCUCUGCGGAGUGUUAUAGCCCGCCGCGUAAUACCCUAGGGCGGACCGAGGACCGCGCGUAUGCAAGGAUGCUGGCGUAAUGGUCGUCAGCGACCCGUCUUGAAACACGGACCAAGGAGUCGUCCUAGUAUGCGAGUGUUCGGGUGUCAAACCCCUGCGCGUAAUGAAAGUGAACGGAGGUGAGAGCUUCGGCGCAUCAUCGACCGAUCCUGAUGUUCUCGGAUGGAUUUGAGUAAGAGCAUACUGGGCCGGACCCGAAAGAAGGUGAACUAUGCCUGUAUAGGGUAAAGCCAGAGGAAACUCUGGUGGAGGCUCGCAGCGGUUCUGACGUGCAAAUCGAUCG